CAUGAAUGGAUGAAGCGUCCUGAGCUGCAGCAUCUGACUGCCUCAGAGCCACUGACCCUGGAACAGGAGUACGACAUGCAGGGGAGCUGGAGGGAAGAUGAUGACAAGAGAAAAGUAAAAUCUUUGGUUGAGCCGAUCAUACAGCAGUGGCUGGAAAGAGAAUGAGAGAAGUUUGGUUGUAGUGGAGAUUCAAGAUGGAUGACAGCAUGAGGCGUUCUGCUACUCAGGCUGUUUGUAAACUGACACACACCGUUUACGAGGAUUUAGCACCAGACAGUUUCCCAGUCGCCUCCUUCCUGUCCCCUGCAGACCCACUUCCUUUUUUUAAUCAAAGGAUGAUCCAGAAAGUGGUGAGGCCUAACAGCGCUGCCUGGUGGAGCACUGGAGCCAGACAGACAGAUUGCACACAACAGGAGACAAAUGAGCAGAGACUCGUGGUUGAGACUGGUGUGUUGUUGGAGCCCCUCAGGGAUCCAGUCCUCCUCCUCCUCCUCAUCACUGCUGUUCUUCUGGAGGUUUUCAUGU